UUUUUUAACGGCCGCGGUACUCUGACCGUGCAAAGGUAGGAUAAUCAUUUGCCUUAUAAUUGAAGGCUAGAAUGAAUGGUUUGACAAGAAUACAACUGUCUCUUUACAAUUACAUAAAAUUUUAUCUGCAGUUGAAGAAGCCUGCAUUUGAAUAAAAGACAAGAAGACCCUAUCGAGCUUAAAAAAAACUGGUGGAAUAACAAACUUAAUCCUAACUUAUAAAUAAAUAAAUAGUCAACUACUGGAAAUUUUGGUUGGGGCGACCGGGGAACAAAAAAAACUUCCUUUAUAAAAAUUUAGAUGCCCAAAUAUUGAUCCAGCAUUAUAUGAUUAAAGAAAUUAGUUACCGUAGGGAUAACAGCAUUAUCUUUUUUAAGAGUUCUUAUCGAAAAAAAGGUUUGUGACCUCGAUGUUGGACCAGAAUAUCCUAAAGAUGCAGCCGUCUUAA
rnacentral:rRNA from 1 species